UUAAGUUAGAAAGGGCGCACGGUGGAUGCCUUGACACUAGGAGUCGAUGAAGGACGGGACUAACGCCGAUAUGCUUCGGGGAGCUGUAAGUAAGCUUUGAUCCGAAGAUUUCCGAAUGGGGAAACCCACCAUACGUAAUGGUAUGGUAUCCUUAUCUGAAUACAUAGGGUAAGGAAGACAGACCCAGGGAACUGAAACAUCUAAGUACCUGGAGGAAGAGAAAGCAAAUGCGAUUUCCUGAGUAGCGGCGAGCGAAACGGAACAUAGCCCAAACCAAGAGGCUUGCCUCUUGGGGUUGUAGGACAUUCUAUACGGAGUUACAAAGGAACGAGGUAGACGAAGCGACCUGGAAAGGUCCGUCGUAGAGGGUAACAACCCCGUAGUCGAAACUUCGUUCUCUCUUGAAUGUAUCCUGAGUACGGCGGAACACGUGAAAUUCCGUCGGAAUCUGGGAGGACCAUCUCCCAAGGCUAAAUACUCCCUAGUGAUCGAUAGUGAACCAGUACCGUGAGGGAAAGGUGAAAAGCACCCCGGAAGGGGAGUGAAAGAGAUCCUGAAACCGUGUGCCUACAAAUAGUCAGAGCCCGUUAACGGGUGAUGGCGUGCCUUUUGUAGAAUGAACCGGCGAGUUACGAUCCCGUGCGAGGUUAAGCUGAAGAGGCGGAGCCGCAGCGAAAGCGAGUCUGAAUAGGGCGUUUAGUACGUGGUCGUAGACCCGAAACCAGGUGAUCUACCCAUGUCCAGGGUGAAGUUCAGGUAACACUGAAUGGAGGCCCGAACCCACGCACGUUGAAAAGUGCGGGGAUGAGGUGUGGGUAGCGGAGAAAUUCCAAUCGAACCUGGAGAUAGCUGGUUCUCCCCGAAAUAGCUUUAGGGCUAGCCUUAAGUGUAAGAGUCUUGGAGGUAGAGCACUGAUUGGACUAGGGGUCCUCAUCGGAUUACCGAAUUCAGUCAAACUCCGAAUGCCAAUGACUUAUCCUUAGGAGUCAGACUGCGAGUGAUAAGAUCCGUAGUCAAAAGGGAAACAGCCCAGACCGCCAGCUAAGGUCCCAAAGUGUGUAUUAAGUGGAAAAGGAUGUGGAGUUGCUUAGACAACUAGGAUGUUGGCUUAGAAGCAGCCACCAUUUAAAGAGUGCGUAAUAGCUCACUAGUCGAGUGACUCUGCGCCGAAAAUGUACCGGGGCUAAAUACACCACCGAAGCUGCGGAUUGAUACCAAUGGUAUCAGUGGUAGGGGAGCGUUCUAAGGACAGUGAAGUCAGACCGGAAGGACUGGUGGAGUGCUUAGAAGUGAGAAUGCCGGUAUGAGUAGCGAAAGACGGGUGAGAAUCCCGUCCACCGAAUGCCUAAGGUUUCCUGAGGAAGGCUCGUCCGCUCAGGGUUAGUCAGGACCUAAGCCGAGGCCGACAGGCGUAGGCGAUGGACAACAGGUUGAUAUUCCUGUACCACCUCUUUAUCGUUUGAGCAAUGGAGGGACGCAGAAGGAUAGAAGAAGCGUGCGAUUGGUUGUGCACGUCCAAGCAGUUAGGCUGAUAAGUAGGCAAAUCCGCUUAUCGUGAAGGCUGAGCUGUGAUGGGGAAGCUCCUUAUGGAGCGAAGUCUUUGAUUCCCCGCUGCCAAGAAAAGCUUCUAGCGAGAUAAAAGGUGCCUGUACCGCAAACCGACACAGGUAGGCGAGGAGAGAAUCCUAAGGUGUGCGAGAGAACUCUGGUUAAGGAACUCGGCAAAAUGACCCCGUAACUUCGGGAGAAGGGGUGCUUUCUUAACGGAAAGCCGCAGUGAAUAGGCCCAAGCGACUGUUUAGCAAAAACACAGCUCUCUGCGAAGCCGUAAGGCGAAGUAUAGGGGGUGACACCUGCCCGGUGCUGGAAGGUUAAGGAGAGGGGUUAGCGUAAGCGAAGCUCUGAACUGAAGCCCCAGUAAACGGCGGCCGUAACUAUAACGGUCCUAAGGUAGCGAAAUUCCUUGUCGGGUAAGUUCCGACCCGCACGAAAGGUGUAACGAUUUGGGCACUGUCUCAACCAGAGACUCGGUGAAAUUAUAGUACCUGUGAAGAUGCAGGUUACCCGCGACAGGACGGAAAGACCCCGUGGAGCUUUACUGUAGCCUGAUAUUGAAUUUUGGUACAGUUUGUACAGGAUAGGCGGGAGCCUUUGAAACCGGAGCGCUAGCUUCGGUGGAGGCGCUGGUGGGAUACCGCCCUGACUGUAUUGAAAUUCUAACCUACGGGUCUUAUCGACCCGGGAGACAGUGUCAGGUGGGCAGUUUGACUGGGGCGGUCGCCUCCUAAAGUGUAACGGAGGCGCCCAAAGGUUCCCUCAGAAUGGUUGGAAAUCAUUCGUAGAGUGCAAAGGCAUAAGGGAGCUUGACUGCGAGACCUACAAGUCGAGCAGGGACGAAAGUCGGGCUUAGUGAUCCGGUGGUUCCGCAUGGAAGGGCCAUCGCUCAACGGAUAAAAGCUACCCCGGGGAUAACAGGCUUAUCUCCCCCAAGAGUCCACAUCGACGGGGAGGUUUGGCACCUCGAUGUCGGCUCAUCGCAUCCUGGGGCUGUAGUCGGUCCCAAGGGUUGGGCUGUUCGCCCAUUAAAGCGGUACGCGAGCUGGGUUCAGAACGUCGUGAGACAGUUCGGUCCCUAUCCGUCGUGGGCGUAGGAAAUUUGAGAGGAGCUGUCCUUAGUACGAGAGGACCGGGAUGGACGCACCGCUGGUGUACCAGUUGUUCUGCCAAGGGCAUAGCUGGGUAGCUAUGUGCGGAAGGGAUAAGUGCUGAAAGCAUCUAAGCAUGAAGCCCCCCUCAAGAUGAGAUUUCCCAUAGCGUAAGCUAGUAAGAUCCCUGAAAGAUGAUCAGGUUGAUAGGUUCGAGGUGGAAG
rnacentral:rRNA from 1 species